rnacentral:rRNA from 1 species
UACGGAGGGUGCAAGCGUUAUCCGGAUUCACUGGGUUUAAAGGGUGCGUAGGCGGGUUGGUAAGUCUGUGGUGAAAUCCCCAAGCUUAACUUGGGAACUGCCGUGGAUACUAUCAAUCUUGAAUAUCGUGGAGGUAAGCGGAAUAUGUCAUGUAGCGGUGAAAUGCUUAGAUAUGACAUAGAACACCAAUUGCGUAGGCAGCUUACUACACGAUCAUUGACGCUGAGGCACGAAAGCGUGGGGAGCAAACAGG